UGUACUCCAUCCUGAGUCCUUCUUAUCAACACCAUCAGUUUUUCCACCAGAUGACGCUGUUCCGGCACCUCCCAUCCUGACUCCAAACCCUUUUCAGCUACCUCCCCUGCUUCCUCCAAACCCCAUUCAGCCUCCUCCCUUGCUUCCUCCCAACCCUUUUCAGCCACCUCCCCUGCUUCCUCCAAACCCCUUUCAGCCUCCUCCCUUGCUUCCUCCCAACCCUUUUCAGCCACCUCCCCUGCUUCCUCCAAACCCCUUUCAGCCUCCUCCCUUGCUUCCUCCCAACCCUUUUCAGCCACCUCCCCUGCUUCCUCCAAACCCCUUUCAGCCUCCUCCCUUGCUUCCUCCCAACCCUUUUCAGCCGCCACCAGCUCCACUUAUUCCAAACCCGUUUCAGCCUCCUCCAGCUCCACUUAUUCCAAACCCGUUUCAGCCUCCCCCGGCUCCACUUUUUCCUCCAAACCCGUUUCAGCCUCCCCCGGCUCCACUUUUUCCUCCAAACCCGUUUCAGCCUCCUCCAGCUCCACUUAUUCCAAACCCGUUUCAGCCUCCCCCGGCUCCACUUUUUCCUCCAAACCCGUUUCGGCCUCCUCGAGCACCUCCGUCACCAUUGUUUCCUUUUCCACCAAUUCCAGGGCUAACUCCACCAUCACCACCACCACCACCACCACCAUUCUUCCCAUUUCCUCUUCCUCCAUUCCCUUUCCCACCUAUACCUCCUUUCCCCGGCAUCCCCCCUGCAUCGACUUCACCAACGAAAUCUUCUCCUUGAUUAAUGAAUACUAUUCCUCAAUGUAUAAUUCUCCAAUAAUAUUUGUCACACUCUAGUCAGUCCUUUUUUGUUUCUUUUCCAUUUUCCUUUUCU
rnacentral:lncRNA from 1 species